rnacentral:rRNA from 1 species
UACGAAGGGUGCAAGCGUUACUCGGAAUUACUGGGCGUAAAGCGUGCGUAGGUGGUUCGUUAAGUCCGAUGUGAAAGCCCUGGGCUCAACCUGGGAAUGGCAUGGGAUACUGGCGGGCUAGAGUGCGGUAGAGGGUGGCGGAAUUCCCGGUGUAGCAGUGAAAUGCGUAGAUAUCGGGAGGAACAUCUGUGGCGAAGGCGGCGACCUGGGCCAAUAUUGACGCUGAGGUGCGAAAGCGUGGGGAGCAAACAGG